AGAGUUUGAUCAUGGCUCAGAACGAACGCUGGCGGCGUGCUUAACACAUGCAAGUCGAGUGCGCGGUUGUAGCAAUACAACUGGCGCACGGCGCACGGGUGCGUAACACGUGGGCAAUCUGCCCUUCGAUGGGGAAUAUCUUCGGGAAACCGAAGCGAAUUCCGCAUAACAUUCCUUGGACUUCGGUUCGAGGACUCAAAGCCGUAAGGCGUCGAAGGAGGAGCCCGCGCCCGAUUAGCUAGUUGGUAGGGUAACGGCCUACCAAGGCAAUGAUCGGUAGCUGGUCUGAGAGGAUGGCCAGCCACACUGGAACUGAGACACGGUCCAGACUCCUACGGGAGGCAGCAGUGGGGAAUCUUGCACAAUGGGCGAAAGCCUGAUGCAGCGACGCCGCGUGGGGGAUGAAGCAUCUCGGUGUGUAAACCCCUUUCGACCCGGAAGAAUGCCUCGCAAGAGGACUGACGGUACGGGUAUAAGAAGCCCCGGCUAACUACGUGCCAGCAGCCGCGGUAAGACGUAGGGGGCCAGCGUUGUUCGGAAUUACUGGGUGUAAAGGGUUCGUAGGCGGUGCGGCAAGUUGGGAGUGAAAUCUCUGGGCUCAACCCAGAGGCUGCUUCCAAAACUGCUGUGCUUGAGUGUGGGAGAGGCGCGUGGAAUUGCAGGUGUAGCGGUGAAAUGCGUAGAUAUCUGCAGGAACACCCGUGGCGAAAGCGGCGCGCUGGACCACUACUGACGCUGAGGAACGAAAGCUAGGGGAGCAAACAGGAUUAGAUACCCUAGUAGUCC
rnacentral:rRNA from 1 species